rnacentral:rRNA from 1 species
GACGAACGCUGGCGGCGUGCCUAAUACAUGCAAGUAGAACGCUGAAGAGAGGAGCUUGCUCUUCUUGGAUGAGUUGCGAACGGGUGAGUAACGCGUAGGUAACCUGCCUUGUAGCGGGGGAUAACUAUUGGAAACGAUAGCUAAUACCGCAUAACAAUGGAUGACACAUGUCAUUUAUUUGAAAGGGGCAAUUGCUCCACUACAAGAUGGACCUGCGUUGUAUUAGCUAGUAGGUGAGGUAAUGGCUCACCUAGGCGACGAUACAUAGCCGACCUGAGAGGGUGAUCGGCCACACUGGGACUGAGACACGGCCCAGACUCCUACGGGAGGCAGCAGUAGGGAAUCUUCGGCAAUGGGGGCCACCCUGACCGAGCAACGCCGCGUGAGUGAAGAAGGUUUUCGGAUCGUAAAGCUCUGUUGUAAGUCAAGAACGGGUGUGAGAGUGGAAAGUUCACACUGUGACGGUAGCUUACCAGAAAGGGACGGCUAACUACGUG